rnacentral:rRNA from 1 species
ACUCUAAAGAGACUGCCGGUGUACGAAACCGGAGGAAGGUGGGAUGACGUCAAGUCCUCAUGGCCUUUAUGACCAGGGCUACACACGUACUACAAGUGGCCGGUACAAAGGGGCAGCGACACAGCGAUGUGAAGCCAAUCCCCGAAAAGCCGGUCUCAGUCCGGAUUGGAGUCUGCAACUCGACUCCAUGAAGUUGGAAUCGCUAGUAAUGGCAGAUCAGCAUGCUGCCGUGAAUACGUUCCCGGGUCUU